rnacentral:rRNA from 1 species
UUUCUUUGUGGGGGGGGGCGGACGCGGUAAUUCCAGCUCCCAAUAAGCGUAUUAUUAAAGUUGUUGCAGUUAAAAGCUCGUAGUUGACCUUGGGUCUGGCUGGCCGGUCCGCCUCACCGCGAGUACUGGUCCGGCUGGACCUUUCCUUCUGGGGAACCCCAUGGCCUUCACUGGCCGUGGCGGGGAACCAGGACUUUUACUGUGAAAAAAUUAGAGUGUUCAAAGCAGGCCUUUGCUCGAAUACAUUAGCAUGGAAUAAUAGAAUAGGACGUGUGGUUCUAUUUUGUUGGUUUCUAGGACCGCCGUAAUGAUUAAUAGGGAUAGUCGGGGGCGUCAGUAUUCAGCUGUCAGAGGUGAAAUUCUUGGAUUUGCUGAAGACUAACUACUGCGAAAGCAUUCGCCAAGGAUGUUUUCAUUAAUCAGGGAACGAAAGUUAGGGGAUCGAAGACGAUCAGAUACCGUCGUAGUCUUAACCAUAAACUAUGCCGACUAGGGAUCGGACGGUGUUUCUAUUAUGACCCGUUCGGCACCUUACGAGAAAUCAAAGUUUUUGGGUUCUGGGGGGAGUAUGGUCGCAAGGCUGAAACUUAAAGAAAUUGACGGAAGGGCACCACAAGGCGUGGAGCCUGCGGCUUAAUUUGACUCAACACGGGGAAACUCACCAGGUCCAGACAAAAUAAGGAUUGACAGAUUGAGAGCUCUUUCUUGAUCUUUUGGAUGGUGGUGCAUGGCCGUUCUUAGUUGGUGGAGUGAUUUGUCUGCUUAAUUGCGAUAACGAACGAGACCUCGGCCCUUAAAUAGCCCGGUCCGCGUUGCGGGCCGCUGGCUCUAGGGACUAUCGCUCAGCCGAUCAUUUCCAAACCAGGUGCGCGGCAAUAACACGUCUGCGGAUACCCCCCUAAAGAGGAA